rnacentral:rRNA from 1 species
UACGGGGGGGGGUAAGCGUUGUUCGGAAUUACUGGGCGUAAAGGGCUCGUAGGCGGCCAACUAAGUCAGACGUGAAAUCCCUCAGCUUAACUGGGGAACUGCGUCUGAUACUGGAUGGCUUGGAUCCGGGAGAGGGAUGCGGAAUUCCAGGUGUAGCGGUGAAAAUGCGUAGAUAUCUGGAGGAACACCGGUGGCGAAGGCGGGUCUCUGGACAGUUCCUGACGCUGAGGCACGAAGGUCAGGGGAGCAAACGGG